AUCUUCUUCUGUACUUUGGGAGAGACAGAGGGUUGAGAGAGAGGAGAGGUGAGAGAACAUCAUGUUGAAGUGAAGUUCAGACCACAUGAAGAAGCCACACAUAGGUGUUCCAUCCAACAGCCAACAUCAGCUGGUGUACAUGUUGUCUUACAAGUAGAAUGACACCAAGGUAUAAAAUUUGGCUGAGCACAGACCAAAGACCGAUUGAAACUCUAAAUCAAAAAUCCAAGUUUCUCCUAGAUCGUGUUUCCUGAGAAGCAAAUUUUGAGAUGGUUUUGAGUGAUGGAUGUCUACUUAAGAGUGCUCCUGGGAAUAACAUCUAUAAAAUCCUGGUGGAGGCAGAGAGGAGGAGACUUUGGACUGGGAGGGAGUUAAUAUACAAGUUUCCACUGAUCCUGUGAGACUGGAAUGACCCCUCAAAUUUGUCUCAAUUUGAGGCAACUUGGUCAAGCAUUAGUAUCCUACAAUUGAUAGGUUAUUGGGUGCCCAGAGAGAGAGAGAGAGAGAGAGUGAGAGCAAGAAUGAGAGUGAGACUGAAUAUGAGAUAACGAGAGAUGUAGAUAUACCUCAGGAUAUAAAAUUUAUUCAUUUUUUGUGUGAAGUGUAAGAUUUGCAUCUAGUAUCUUUAUUUUGCAUAAGGACAUCCCAUUGUUCCAUCACCAUUUGUUGAAAAGGUAUCUGUCCUCUGAAUUACCACUAUACUUUGUCAAAAAUCAGUUGACUAUAUUUGUGUGGGCCCAUUUUUGGAUGCUAUAUUUUAUCUUUGAAGAUAAUCUUUCCAAAUUUCAGGUGGUUUCUUUAUAAUAAUAAUGAGGCAUAAUUAUGUACACAUUAAAAAAAGACAGAGUUAUUGGAUACAUAACAGAUAACAGGAGUAAGUAAAUCAUAUUAAGAUGACAUAGAUUUUGAAUCAGACAGAAUUGAAUUUGCAACUUGCAUUGCUGAUUAUAUGUAUAUAAUAUUGUCAAUUUAUUUAAAGCCUUAAUUUCUAUAACUGUAAAGUGAACAUGAUAAAUACUGACUUGGUAAGGCUAUAUUAAGUUAUCUAAAUUAUGUAGGUAUCUAUAAUAAAAUUUCUCAGAUGACUCA
ensembl:lncRNA novel transcript